rnacentral:lncRNA from 1 species
AGUUAUUUCCUCCCUGAGUGGAGUCUGUAGAAAUUAGUGAGGAGUGGAUUGACUUGUUACUUGUAUUGGCAUUGUCCCAGUACUUCCCCUUUCUAUUGCUGGAGUGAGAUCAAGUGAAAGGCAGUUAUUUACUCUCUUGCUAAGCUCUUCCUAGGGAAGGAAGUUCUCCUUUUUAAACCUGCGAGCUCUAGCUCUAUUGCAAAAAAAGAAGAAAAUAAAGCUAUGGAGAGCUUAGACAAGUUUGAAAAUAGGAAUCUUGAAAGCUAGCAGUCUCUUUUUA